GAGAAAAGGAGGAGGGAUUAAGGAAAGAGAGAAGGAAAGGGAUGGAGAGAGAGGAAUUUGACUGUGAAGGUACGAGAGAAAAAAGGAUCCUCGCCUGCGUCUCUUUGUAGGCUUAGAGAGAGAAAAUGGGACUCUCUCUCUCUUAGAAGUCGAAUGCUGCAUGAGUGUCCAUAGCUUUCCCAGUUCCAAUUCCAAUGGGUUGGGGUCUGCGUUCUCACUCGAAGAAGAGUGAGGGAACAACGCAAGGGAAGAGUUCCACUCCUCCUUUUUCGGGUCGGGAAUUCGGCCUCCAGACUGCCCUGCUGCACUACCUCUCCAUGACUUCGAUUAAAUGCCUCACUGAGGUUAUGCUAUGACAAGUGAGCUCAGACCUGCCGCCGGUGACCCCACCCACCCUGAAGAAGCUCUGGAGAUGAGGAGGUCAUUCCAGAUGACAUAACCUUCUUAGGGAUGUUGUGCACAUGCAUCGAGUAGAGCAUAAGCAGUUCGGACACUACAAUUGCAUGGUGUUCACACCCUGUAGGUGAGGUUUACAUGAAAUACACCACAAGUUGCAGGGAUGCUGCGUGUGGUCUGUUUGGAGGUUGAAGAGAAAGCGGAUGCCCUCAGCCGAGAAGGUGAGCAUUGGAAGCGUGGCGAAGAGGCCAUUCUCCAAUUUCCCUCUGUAAAAAUUAUUGAGAUAGCUGUUUUGCUUUUUUUAAUGUUGACUUGAGGGCAUCCCAGAGGUUAUUGGUAAACUUACUCGCACACAGACACAUACUUAAGCAGGAAAGAGAGACAAACAUGGCAAUUCCCUCUGUGGGAGUGAGUGGGUCCCAUCCUACUUGUCAUGUGCUGGCGCACUCUCUGAUAGAGAUUGAUUGUAUACACCACCCACCCCACAUGGCUACUUUGGUUGUAUAACUUGUGAGGCUGGUAACCUCCAACCCUCUUAUCCCUUCUAAGCAUACAUACAUGAUACAUGUAUGGAGCCUUUCUGAAUUGUAUGUGGGAUGCAUCUCUUGGGUUAUAGAAAGAAUCCCAUAAAUCCUAGUAUAUAGCAGCAGACUCGGAGGCUCGCCUUUCGCUUUAACAGAAGAAGAGAUGGGGUUCAAGGCAAGGUGCAGGAAGAAAUUCCGAGGGACUGUGCGAUUCUUGACGUUGGCUUACUCCACCAGCGGUGGUGGUAGAGAUGAUCUAUUUUACGAAUACGAUCCGACUCCUUAUGAUGGGGGUUAUGAUCCAGAUCUUACUUUCGGGAAGCCCCUCCCCGCAUCCAAACAAACCUGCUAUUCUCCUUCCAAAUAUUCAUCGUCAUCCUUUGAGAAUUUCGACUAUGGAAGCCUUCCUUCCCCUUAUGGGGACUCCCAACCAGCAGCAACUACUACUAUUACUCAAGAAGAAAAAGAGGAAAGGCCAACCCGUGAUGAAGACAGCGAGUCCCACCAUGACCCCGGCGACUCACAUGGAAAUGGAAUAGAAGAUGACGUGCUGGAAUUGAGCGGGCCACUGGUGAACCCGUCUCAUGGUGAUGGUGAGGAGCAGCCAGUCUACCAUGGCUAUGGGUGGCCAUGGCCGGAAGAAUAUGGGUAUGGAUAUGGUUAUGGAAGCACUGACCACGGUUUCAGAACUUCUCCGGCAUCUGAUUAUUGGUGGGAUGAGCCAAGCCUCUUUGCAGACCCUUUCAAUUUGAGGGACUCCCUUCCCCCUUCUCAGAGCUAUUAUAAUGGAAGAGUUCGCAACAAUCAACAAGAAACUGAACAGGGAGGCCAUGCAAGUUCAUGGAAAGGGGCUGAGGAGUUAAUGGAUUCCAUCUUUGGAUCGUCAAAUCCCAAUUAUGAAUACCCAGCCCCUGAAAGGUCUGGCUAUGACCAACACAUCUAUCAACUGGACAAACAUGAGGAAUCUUCAUGGUUUCAAAGUUCAUACCGCUAUGCAUCUUACUAGUGACUAAGGGAAGUUGUUCUAUGUAAAAGACUGCAUCCAUGUCCUGAUCGUCGAGAGCUUUUCACAACAAGUUUAGAGAGAUUAGAGUGGAUGCAGAAGGAGCGCAAGUCAAUUAUCUGCAAACAGUUGCUGCGUGAAGUCAUUUACCUUUUGAAGCUAUGUAACACUCAACUUACGCGGUGCUGACGAAAUGGAGGCCAGAGUCACGACACAACAUUGCGAGUGCUCAUGGAGGUAAUGAAUAAGAAAUGCGGCUUCUAGGUUGGUCCAUCCAUGCCUCUGCCAGAGCAAGGAGCGGGAGCGGUGCAGCGGUGUUGGAGGGAAGUAAAAAGGCGAGAGGGGUUAGUGGUUCAUAAGAUUCGAGAUGGGAUGAUGAUUGUGUGUGCUGCGGAAUCACACAAAUUGAAAUUUGAAAGGCGAAUCGGGAUGCUAAAACAAAGUUUCACUUACUGACAAACGUCACAUGCGAGGGGAGAGAGCAUAGAUUUCAGACAAUUUUUUUUCUUGUUUUUUAGGGGAGAAACCAUACCUGUACUAGUGUUAGAACCAAUGCGGUGUCUUCUCUCUCUUUUUACAACUAAGAGUGGCAUUAGGAGCAGUGAUGUGGCAGUAUCAUGUCAUCUCAUCCUCUCGUGGGACAAUUUAACUCACCCCGAUGGCAAUUUUUUUUUUUGAAUAAAUGGGGAUGGCGACCCCCUACCCAUUUUAUUAGAAACUAAGAAUAAGUUACAUGGAUGAUCCUUUUACAACCUUUCUUUUUUAAAAAAGAACAAUAGCAACUUCAGAUAAAAAAAAAGAAAACGCACGACACACCAUUGCUUUAAUCCUAAACACUGCUUUUUUGACACUUAAGAAUCGGCCUUCAUAUAUAUUAAUAACAAUGUAUAUCACAAGAAUGUUUAAGGGGAUGUAUUGCAAAGUCGGGAGAAAACCAAACUAUGAGCAAAUGUGAUUUUGAAAGUAGAAAGAGGGGUGCACAUGGGAGAUGUGAGAGGAGAGAGACGGGGGAAUCUUGAUUGGUGUGGGUUGGACAGUAAAAUUGGAAA